rnacentral:rRNA from 1 species
GUCGAACGGUGAAGCCCAGCUUGCUGGGUGGAUCAGUGGCGAACGGGUGAGUAACACGUGAGCAAUCUGCCCCUGACUCUGGGAUAAGCGCUGGAAACGGCGUCUAAUACUGGAUACGAGCUGCGAUCGCAUGGUCAGUAGCUGGAAAGAUUUUUUGGUCAGGGAUGAGCUCGCGGCCUAUCAGCUUGUUGGUGAGGUAAUGGCUCACCAAGGCGUCGACGGGUAGCCGGCCUGAGAGGGUGACCGGCCACACUGGGACUGAGACACGGCCCAGACUCCUACGGGAGGCAGCAGUGGGGAAUAUUGCACAAUGGGCGCAAGCCUGAUGCAGCAACGCCGCGUGAGGGAUGACGGCCUUCGGGUUGUAAACCUCUUUUAGCAGGGAAGAAGCGAAAGUGACGGUACCUGCAGAAAAAGCGCCGGCUAACUACGUGCCAGCAGCCGCGGUAAUACGUAGGGCGCAAGCGUUAUCCGGAAUUAUUGGGCGUAAAGAGCUCGUAGGCGGUUUGUCGCGUCUGCUGUGAAAUCCCGAGGCUCAACCUCGGGUCUGCAGUGGGUACGGGCAGACUAGAGUGCGGUAGGGGAGAUUGGAAUUCCUGGUGUAGCGGUGGAAUGCGCAGAUAUCAGGAGGAACACCGAUGGCGAAGGCAGAUCUCUGGGCCGUAACUGACGCUGAGGAGCGAAAGGGUGGGGAGCAAACAGGCUUAGAUACCCUGGUAGUCCACCCCGUAAACGUUGGGAACUAGUUGUGGGGUCCAUUCCACGGAUUCCGUGACGCAGCUAACGCAUUAAGUUCCCCGCCUGGGGAGUACGGCCGCAAGGCUAAAACUCAAAGGAAUUGACGGGGACCCGCACAAGCGGCGGAGCAUGCGGAUUAAUUCGAUGCAACGCGAAGAACCUUACCAAGGCUUGACAUACACCAGAACACUGUAGAAAUACGGGACUCUUUGGACACUGGUGAACAGGUGGUGCAUGGUUGUCGUCAGCUCGUGUCGUGAGAUG